UGGGGAAUAUUGGACAAUGGGCGAAAGCCUGAUCCAGCGACGCCGCGUGUCGGAAGGAGUCCUUCGGGAUGUAAACGACUUUUGGUGGAGACGAAUAAGCAGCUCAGGGAAUGGGGCUGUGAUGACGGUAUCCAUGGAAUAAGCCCCGGCUAACUACGUGCCAGCAGCCGCGGUAAGACGUAGGGGGCAAGCGUUACCCGGAAUUACUGGGCGUAAAGGGAGCGUAGGCGGGAGGUCAAGACCGGUGUGAAAGACCCUGGCUCAACCAGGGAUGAGGGCUGGAAACUGACAAUCUUGAGUACAGCAGAGGAAGAGGGAAUUACCGGUGUAGGGGUGAAAUCCGUAGAGACCGGUAAGAAGGCCAGUGGCGAAGGCGCUUUUCUGGACUGUUACUGACGCUGAGGCUCGAAAGCCAGUGGAGCAAACCG
rnacentral:rRNA from 1 species